UAGGGAAUCUUCGGCAAUGGGGGGAACCCUGACCGAGCAACGCCGCGUGAGUGAAGAAGGUUUUCGGAUCGUAAAGCUCUGUUGUUAAGGAAGAACGAGUGUAAGAAUGGAAAGUUCAUGCUGUGACGGUACUUAACCAGAAAGGGACGGCUAACUACGUGCCAGCAGCCGCGGUUAUAAGUAGGUCCCGAGCGUUGCCCGGAUUUAAUGGGCGUAAAGCGAGCGCAGGCGGUUAGAUAAGUCUGAAGUGAAAGGCAGUGGCUCAACCAUUGUAGGCUUUGGAAACUGUUUAACUUGAGUGCAGAAGGGGAGAGUGGAAUUCCAUGUAUAGCAGUGGAAUGCGUAGUUAUAAAGAGGAACACAGGUAACGAAAGCGGCUCUCUGGUCUGUAACUGACGCUGAGGCUCGAAAGCGUGGGGAGCGAACAGG
rnacentral:rRNA from 1 species